UGCUGUAAACAAGCUCUGUGUGGAGCUUCUGCAGCACUCUUAACUGCCUUACUGGUACCUAUGACUAAGGAAACUUACCAGAUGGAACAGAUCUGACAUGAAGAUUAACAAGAGUGGAUCCACAGAACUUAGAUGGAAGCUGCCUUGGCGGUGAUGGUGGAGGGCGAGAGGGAGUAGCAGUGGAUGACAGAUUGCUUAUCCACGCCACAGCACUCAUCACUGCUGCUUGGAGGUGGGAUUCUGCACGGCUCAUCCACAUCGCCCACCUCCCACUGUGAGGUGCAUCUGCUGGAGCUGGCCUGUGGGCGACAGGCUGUUUUCCUGAAAUGCCUCAUGUUGGAGGGCUGGGUGGCAGCUGAGGCCACAUCAUAAACAUAUUAUUUGAGGAAAAAUAAAGGAUGCUUAGAAAAUCGAUGAGCAGCAAAGAAUUAGAUCUGCUUUCACUGUUAAGACAGCCAAUGUGAAAGCAUAUGGAAGAAAUAAGAAUCAUACACGUGGUUUCCUGAGAGGCAUAUGACAAUUUUCUUAUCUUUUACAAACUGUAAAAAGUAUAUACGUGCUCAUUUGAAGCUGACAGACU